GCCGAAGUAGCUCAGCUGGUCAGAGCAGACGGCUCAUAUCCGUCGGGUCGGGGGUUCGAGUCCCUCCUUCGGCACUA
rnacentral:tRNA from 1 species